CGACUCAACUAGGUUUGAGCUUUUAGGCUGCUAGAACUAGGUAAAUCGCUGACAGCCUUUGCGGCCAAAGCUUUUAUGAUCUCUUGUAAUGAUCGCAACGCUCUCACGCGGAUUCAAAAUAAGAUCUACUAUUUUCUCUAAACUCAUUUAUUAUCUCUUCGUGAUUUCUGCAUCUAUUUGGUCACUUGUCGUUGGCUCUCCAGAGAUCCGGGACCUCUAGGAAAUUAGGGUUUUUCUUAGUUUCCUAAUUUAAACGUAAAUUGACAGUGCGUAUUUCGGUUCCCACAAUGACCAUCAAUUUUCUGGGAUAUUAUGGUAUAUAUGGAAGGUCGGAAUAAUAAAGUAUUUAGUAAUCUUGAUACUGGCCCAAGGGAAAUACUUAAAUUAGCAGAAUUGGAAUCAACACUUUGGGCUGAUGCACAAAUACUCACUGAUCAAAAGAAGGAACUUCACAGAAUCCCAUUAGUAACGUCAGGACGUUGGUGCUUUAUUGAUGGUUCAUGGAAAGAUAAUGAAUUAUUUUCAGGACAAGGCUGUUAUAGUACCCUACCGGGUUUUGAUGGUUUAUUAGGGGCAAGGAAUGUAAGGGUAUGUCUUUCACCUCUUCAUUUGGAGGUGGAGGCUUUGAUUUGGACAAUGGAAUGUAUGAAGAAUUUAAGACAGAUUCAGGUUACGUUUGCCAUGGAUUGUUCUCAAUUGGUGAAUAUGGUUUCGAACCAGAAGAAUGGCCAGCAUUUGAAAGUUAUCUGAAAGAUAUCAAGUUUUUACAAGGAAGUUUCCUCAACUCAGAUAUCGUUCAUGUACCUCGAACGGAGAACCAAUAGGCGGAUAGCUUAGCACGCAGUGCUAGGUAACAACCUUCGUCGUUCACAUGGAUGCGGAGUUACCACUUUAGUUUAUAGAGUCAAUAUAAACCUGUGAAUGUCUUGUUAUCAAAAGAAAAAUUGUUUUUAAGAGAUUUAUUUUAUAUUUCAAUACAUAUUAUAUGAGUUAAUAAUGGAAAAUUUUAAUCUUUUAAAAAUAAUUGUAUUUUUGAAUUAUAAUUGUUCCAAAAUAUUAAAAUAGUUAAUUAUAUUAAAUAAUGUAUUAUUAUCAGAUGGAAUAUGUUUUAAUAUGCAUAAAACAUAACUAUUUAUUUUUCUAGAAAAAGAGAAAACAGAUUAAAAAUAUUUGUAAUUCAAGAUUGAUAUUUAUAAACAAAACAAAGCUGAUCAAAUUAGACAUACAUAACUAAUAUAACAAGAAACGAUAAAAAUAAAAAUAUGAGAAUGAAAACUAAUCAUGAGACACGUAAACAUAACAAUAACAACAUAAAUAAAAUAAAAGAUGAGAGAAAAAUAUGGUCACACGUAAGAGGAUGUAGCACUAUUGUCCCAAUUUAACCAAAUAUGCUAGAUUCCUUUAUUCAAAAUUUUGUUACAAACAAAAAUUUAUAAAAUUACUAUAGGGCAAGUGCCCCACCUUCUAUGUAAGUAGAUCCGCCCCUGCUAAGCUCCUUUGGGUUUUCUGUGGGUGGGUAGAUGUUCUCAAGAUAGGUUUGGUGUAUUAACCAAUAAAGGAGAGAAACAUGUCGUUUUAUCCAAUUUGGUGAAUGAGUACUCCUUUUUUCGAGAUAGGUUUGGUGUUUCCUUAUUUUAUUUUGUUAUCACAUAUUUUAAAUGGCGAGAUUCAUAUUUUAGCAUGUUCAACAUGUUUUAAUUUUUUUUAGAAAACUUUUAUCCUCUAGACUAAGUCACCAAUGAAAAAUUGUAUUGUGCUUUAAUUGUGGGGUUGAAAAAAAACAAAAAUGUAGUUGUAAAUCUUAAAAAAAUAAUUUUAGAAAAAACAGAAAUCAAUGGAGAGCCACAUCCGUCAAACCAAAAUUUAAGGAUGUAUAUAAAUUAAAUUAGAUGUAUAAAAGGUGAUAUACGUUUAAGUUUUCUUAAUAUACUAGUUUUUUAUAGACCCAAAAAUCAUUAUUAAUUUGUUGAAAGCACUUGAGAUGAAGAAACUCUUUCAAAUAUCGAGUCCCAUUAUAGCUACAUUCAUCAUCAUCGCAAUAGGGUUAAUGGCGAAUGAAACAUAUGGAAACAAAAAUUGUACUGAAAUUCUAAAUACCAAGGAA